GAAGAAUAUAGAUAUAAAGAAAUAUAGAUAAUGAUAAUCUCAAAGGGUCUAGUGGGAGUGGUUUGAAAGUGAAAUGCCUUCAGGGGUCCUGCUUUUGAACACUUGAAAAGUUCCUAGUAUAACAGGAUGUUUCUUAGUGAUCUUCUCUCUCCCUACCACCCCGAGAAACCUCAGCUCCUCCUACUUAAGUCUCCUCCUAGUUUGUUGGGUAUGCUUACACCUAUUCACAUUGGCUACCUUCGACUACAGAUGCCUUUCCUGCCUGGUUGUUCUUGGUGAGAUUCUCCGUCUCCAAUAUGCACCUUAGAACAUCUUGGCUCCCAGACUGCUGCUGUGUCCUCCCCAAAGCAUGCCAAUCAAAGCCCUCAGCAGGUUACAGUGCAGCUGAGCAGAUGACGGUGCCUUUCUCUUGGAUUUUCCAGUCCUGUGGGUCAAAUAAACAUGUGCUCUGAUUAAA